GCUUCCGCCAUUGUGCAAUAUUCCCCACUGCUGCCUCCCGUAGGAGUCUGGACCGUGUCUCAGUUCCAAUGUGGCCGAUCACCCUCUCAGGUCGGCUACGCAUCGUGGCCUUGGUGAGCCGUUACCUCACCAACUAGCUAAUGCGCCGCGGGUCCAUNUUGAAGCGGAUUACUCCUUUUCUUGCUGCACCAUGCGAUGCUACAAGCUUAUGCGNUAUUAAUCUUCCUUUCGAAAGGCUAUCCCCACUUCGAGGCAGGUUACCCACGUGUUACUCACCCGUCCGCCGCUAAGAGCGCUUCGAUGUAAACAUCUUGCAUUCUCCGCUCGACUUGCAUGUGUUAGGCACGCCGCCAGCGUUCGUCCUGAGCCAGAAUCAAACUCUAAGCCGAAUUCUGCAGAUAUCCAUCACACUGGCGGCCGCUCGAGCAUGCAAAAAAGGGCCCAAUUCGCCCUAUAGUGAGUCGU
rnacentral:rRNA from 1 species